UAAAUGCAUCGUCCACACUCUUGUUUGUACGAUGAUGAUAAUUGUAAUAAUGUAUUCAACGAUUUGUGUAUUUAUAUUAUGUAACUAAAUGUGUCUGUUCGGUAUAUUACAUAGGCUGCUAGAAAUAUCGUUUAUCGUCGUAAUAUUCGUACGAAAGAGCUUAGUCACCGUGUUCCUACGAAUUCAGAAUACACGUACGAAAAAAGAGAAAGAAUCACGCAUAAACAUUUUUUCGUUUAGACAGCAAUCAUCUUCCAUUUUAUCUGAAAAUAUUGUACAUAUAUUGUAUGUACAUACAUAUAUUCAUAUUUCUUAAAUAUUUAGUUGAUCAUAUCGAUAUCGAAUAAGCAGAAGCUGAAUACUAUACAAAGUUGAGACAGAACAUCUACCACUACAAGAAUAUAGAAAUAUUUUGCCGAGGAAACGUAAUAAGUCCAUCAGGUACGAACAAACGUCGAGAAAUUGCAGAAUUAGAAUUAUGAGUUUGGAUGCAAGUGUCACGCGAUUCGUCGAAACAGCGACAUUCCUACGCCUUCUUUUCAAUUUGAUUCUGAUUAUCGAUAUGAUUAUUUGUUUAAACCGCGAAUGAACUCGAGUAAGUCAUUUGAUCGAUAUGGAGGGAAAUCAGCUGAACCCGUAUACACUUAUAUUUAACGGGUGAAAAAUUAUCGCAACUGCGAUCUCUCGAUGAGCUGCGUUUAGAAAAGAAACGUGCGUACUUGUAAGUAGAUGUAUGCACGAUAAGUACAUACAUCGGAAAAAGAAAUAAAUUUAUCGUUGUGUUCGUUGUAUAAAAAAAAGAUUAAAGAAGAAAAAUAGAAUUAUUAUAUAUCUCGAGAUUCGUAUAAGCAAUCAAUUGCGCAUGUUCGUACUCGCAAUUUCCACGCUGAUGCAACCGAUUGCCAAUGCUUUGACGCGGGUCACCGUAUCGGGGUUGCUAUUUCGAGGAUGGAAUAAGAAAGGGUAAGAUGAGAUAGUUGAGAAUGAAUCGACGUCACACUAUCACUGGCCAACAUUCCACGCGUUGCAUUUCGUGGGCAACCCAGCUACGUAUAUUUGUGCCUGUCGUACACACGCACAUUACACAUUUUUUUCUACAUCUAUAUAUGUUCUUUUUGCCAGAUUUACACGCGAUACCUUGUUUCCCUCUCUCCAACCAUUUUUCGUCUGCCGUCCGUUCCCCAUUCCAUUCAAUUUCAAUCGUUUCGUUCCGUUUUACAUAUUUUUUGAAUUAUUCGAAACACUUUGUACAAAGAAUGGCAUAUUCAGCGUUCGUGAAACGAGAUAUACAAUAUACAAUAUAA